UAAGUGUCGUACAUUUAGCACCCGUGAUGCCU
rnacentral:piRNA from 1 species